CUAGGUUUUAUGGAGGGUUUUUUUUUUUGCCUUUUUAAUUAUGCAUAUCUUUUAAAUUCCUUUGCUUUGAAUUAAUUAUGCCUUCUGAUGAUUAAAAGUAAUUAUGUUGGCGGAUGCUCAAGAAUUAUGUGCACCCAGACAACGAGUAUGCUGAGACUUGCUGUAUCUGUUAGGGAAUGGACAAACACCCAGCCCACUCCCCACUACGUUAACAUUUUAUAUUUAUUCCUAUUACAUUUCAUUUUUCAGGGGAUUCUUCAAGCUUCCAGUUGUUUGGGGCUCUGGAGCUUCCAGUGGGAAGAUGGAAUCAACUUCACUUUAGGAUGUUCACUAAUCAACUUAUUAAUACUACUGUUCUUAUUAGUAAAUUUUGCCAAGGAAUAGAAGUCAAACCCACUGUUCUACUUGUAGUUUCAAUUUUCUUCCCUUUUUAAAAAAUCAAGACAAGAUUUAUCCUGCUCCAAUUCUUGCAUAAUUUCCUCAUUCUCUCUCUCUCUCUCUCUCUGGUAAUUGAGAUUAAGAGACUUGCCCAGGGUCACACAGCUAGGAAGUAUUAAAUGUCUGAGAUCAGAUUUGAACUCAAGCUCUCCUGACUUCAGGACUGGAACUCUAUCCACUGUGCCACCUAGCUGCCCCUCAUUCUCUUUAAGAAAACUUUUUUUUUAUUAUAAACUUAACGUACAACAAAUAAAAUGAGCAUUUUCUCUAGUG